rnacentral:rRNA from 1 species
GUGCCAGCCGCCGCGGUAAUACGUAGGGCGCAAGCGUUGUCCGGAUUUAUUGGGCGUAAAGAGCUCGUAGGCGGUUUGUCGCGUCUUCCGUGAAAACUGGGGGCUUAACUUCCAGCUUGCGGUGGAUACGGGCUGACUGGAGUGCGGCAGGGGAGACUGGAAUUCCUGGUGUAGCGGUGAAAUGCGCAGAUAUCAGGAGGAACACCGGUGGCGAAGGCGGGUCUCUGGGCCGUUACUGACGCUGAGGAGCGAAAGCGUGGGGAGCGAACAGGAUUAGAUACCCUCGUAGUCC